ensembl:snRNA U6 U6 spliceosomal RNA
GUGCUCACUUCAGCAGCCCAUAUACUAAAAUUGGAACAAUACAGAGAAAAUUAUCAUGGGCCCCCACAAGGAUGACACCCAUAUCUGUGAAGCGUUUUCAACUGUA